UAAGUUCCAAGACCACACGGUGGCCCAGUGGUUAGUACUGGUUCCUUGCAGUGCUGGCAUCCUAGGUUCGAAUCUGACCAAGGACAACAUCUGCAUGAAGUUUGUAUGUUCUCCCUGUGUUUGUGUGGGUUUCCUUCGGGUUCUCUGGUUUCCUCCCA